rnacentral:lncRNA from 1 species
AUUAAGACGUAUUGUGAUGUUUUAGCCAUUUCAGUGAUUUCAUCAAAAAGAUAUUUCAUGAAUUUUGAAAGAAACUCGAUUUAAAAAAUUUGAGAGUUACGGCUCUCUUCGCUAUCAUGGCAGUAUAAGUGCUCUACACUGCCCGUCCUAAGGAAAAACGCCAUAUGAGCGUCCAGGCGUUGCCAAAUUUCCUUUGACAAAUCACGAAUUUUUGGGAAUAUUUAUUAUUUUCUUCUAAAAAUAAUUUUUUUUCCGAGAGAAAAUUUGGCAGCACUCGAAUACUCAUACGGCGUUUUCCCUUAGCACGGCAGUGAAUAACUCUAUACAAUUUCACAUUUCUCUCAUGUUACGCGUCCAACUAUCAUAUUCCUUACCUUGAGGGUUGGCAUGGUUAUAAUUGACAUCAUUCUGCUGAUAAUUGGGCAAAUGAUGAUUAUUUUGAUAAUUUUGGUUUUGAUAAGCGGCGUCCUGGCCGGGGCCGGUGGGGAGCAUCUGGUGGACGCCAAGCGGUGGGAGACUGUUGAGAUUCACGGCGUUGCCCUUUUGGAUGGCCGCUUGAUAGAGGGCCAUGAGCUCGUCCUUGCUCAGGGGUGGGAUCCAUGAGUCUUGAUGACCCUGCUGGCCCUGGAACCCGGGGGCCCCGCUUGGAUGUGGAUCCGCGGGCCCAUAACCUGGGGCAGUUUGACCCGCGUUCGAGGGACCCGAAGGGGCGGUGGGCCCGGUGGGUCCGGGGAAGGGGCCGGGCCCGGAGGCGCCCAGCUUGGUCUCGACGCGGUCGAGGAUUAAAUCUAAGACUUUGGUAUUUGUGGGAGAUUCCCCGUGCAUCUUCCCGAUGACCGAGUAGAGGAACUUGGCCCCCGCCUCCGUCCCGUUCUCCGACUCCUCCGAGUAGACGCUCUUCAUCAGUGAUAGGAAUACUAUCAGGAACCAGAUUACGCGUAGAUGCCUACUGUCCAACAUCCUGCAACAGAUACACAGAAUGUAGAUCAAGAUCUCAGUCAUACCACAAAAUAAAGAGUGAAGUGGGCCUUUAGACGUAGUGUAAACGGAGCUAUUAAAGUUCGGAAUGUGCAAGGCAGGAAAGCUAUCGCGAUGCUAAAUGGGGUUCUCUGGGACCAGAGUAUCUCCAAGGAGACUAAAAGGAAAAUUUACAACGUCAUCGUGAAGAGUAUCAUAACUUACGGGAGUGAGGUCUGGCAAUUGAAGAAAAGGACUGAAGACAUGCUUAGGGCAACCGAGAUGGACUUUUGGUGAAGAUCUGCUGGCAUCUCAAGAAGAGAGCGUAUCCGCAAUGUAAAAGUACGCGAAAUAAUGGGUGUGGAGAAUGACAUCGUGCACGAUAUCAGGUCCAAACAGUUGGUCUGGUAUGGACAUGUGCGAAGGAUGGCAGACGAUCGGUUGCCCAAGCAGGUCUUCGAUUGGGUUCCUCCCGGAAGGCGACGGCGUAGACGUCCUGUGAAAGGUUGGUGACAAGGGGUGGAGGAGGAGAUCAGAAGGUGCCAAUUGCCUGAUGAUCUCUGGGAGGAUAGGGGGCAAUGGCGAUUGGGCGUCGCAGAGCGCGAGGCUGCGCUGUAAAAGCGGCUUUAUGUAUGUGUAUGUAUGUAUGUAAAUGGUAAUGUUGCAUGUGUGAGGAAUUUGCGAUUUGACUGAUGAUUCAAAUGUAAAAGUUCGUGAGAAACACGAUGGUGCCACUGGUUUUCUCUGAAAUCAACUCCCAAGCUCAAAAAAAGCUCUCAAGUUGAGGAAAAAAUGGAGGGGAUAUCCCACCCUACCCGGAGAGUCCACGUCCACAUCAAGACAAACUCUCCAUGCAAAGAUAGGGAGCAAAUACAUUAGCAGUGAUGCUGUGUUUUCAAUUUUUGAGUCCCCAAAUAAAGUGGUAGCCCUGUCAAUGUAUUUUCUCCCUAUCUUUGCAUGGAGAGUUUGUCUUGAUGUAGACGUGGACUCUCAGGGUAGGGUGGGAUACCCCCUCCAUUUUGGCCUCAACUUGAGAGCUUUUUUUGAGCUUGGGAGUUGAUUUCAGAGAAAACCAGUGGCACCAUCGUGUUUCUCACGAACUUUUACAAAAGAAUCAACAGUCAAAUCGCAAAUUCUUUACACAUGCAACAUCUCCCUUAGGAAUCACCGUUCCAUGUAAUCUCCUCAAAAUCUUACGUAGAAAUACCUGUUCACACCCCUUCGUAUCAAUGUUCAGGGCGAUCCAAGGUUUACACCGUCAGCGGGUUAGUUGUUAAAAUUGAUAGACAAAGUGAUAGACAAAGAAGACAUAAGGAGUAUGCA